rnacentral:rRNA from 1 species
GACGAACGCUGGCGGCGUGCUUAACACAUGCAAGUCGAACGGAAAGGCCCUGCUUUUGUUGGGUGCUCGAUUGGCGAACGGGUGAGUAACACGUGAGUAACCUGCCCUUGACUUUGGGAUAACUUCAGGAAACUGGGGCUAAUACCGGAUAGGAUCUCCUGCUGCAUGGUGGGGGUUGGAAAGUUUCGGCGGUUGGGGAUGGACUCGCGGCUUAUCAGCUUGUUUGUGGGGUAGUGGCUUACGAAGGCUUUGACGGGUAGCCGGCCUGAGAGGGUGACCGGCCACAUUGGGCCUGCGAUACGGCGCAGACUGCUACGGGCGGCAGCAGUGGGGAAUAUUGCACAGUGGGCGCAAGCCUGAUGCAGAAACGCCGCGUGCGGGAUGACGGCCUUCGGGUUGUAAACCGAUUUCGCCUGUGCCGAAGAGUGCGUGACGGUAAUGGGUCAAGAAGCACCGGCUAACUACGUG